CGCUCACAGAGAUCUGAGGGUGGCUCAGGGAGAGGGGGGGGGAGGAGGAAGUGUCAACUCACGCUCGCUGAAGAACAUCCCCCGCCGGCCCUCCCUCUUCAAGAACCGGGACUCAGAUAAGAAGUCUGGUGAUGGUAAAGGAGAUCAGAGCAACACGAGAGGCGUCCCUAUCAAACAGAGCAUCCUGUGGAAGAGAAGCGGCAGCUCUCUGAAUAAGGAGUGGAAGAAGAAAUACGUCACGCUGUCCAACAACGGCCCGCUGUCCUACCACUCCAGCU